GCCGGCUUAGCUCAGUUGGUAGAGCACCUGAUUUGUAAUCAGGGGGGCGGGGGUUCGAGUCCCCCAGUCGGCUCCA
rnacentral:tRNA from 1 species